ensembl:snRNA U6 U6 spliceosomal RNA
GUGCUCACUUAGGCAGCACUAAAAUUGGAAUGAUACAGAGAAGAUUAGCAUGGCCCCUGCCCAAGGAUGACACACAAAUUCGUGAAGCGUUCCAUAUUUUU